CUUUCUGCUGCUUUGUGACCUCAGGAAUGACAACCAGGCAUCACCAGAUCCCAGACAAAGCUGUUGCUGCCCAGCCAUGUCUGGCUUGCGAUGGCCAGGGACAACAAAAAAGGUUCUGAAUCUGUGCUGAAAAUGAGUGACAUACACGCCUCUCUAGGAGAGAAAGAGAGUGAGACAGGAGGCAAUUAGGCUUCUCACCAAGAUUAGAUCUAUUUCUUUCCACACACUGUCCUUGAAAUGGCUAAAUCAUAUAGGGGAGAGAACAAAGUUUUUAAUGAGUAUACAGACUAAGCUUCAAUUGCAGAAAUCACUCACUGAAUCAUCAGGAUGGAACAGAUGCAAGAAAAUUGUGAUCUUCUUGAUGAGAAACAGUAAAAAAAAAAUGAUAAAGGCACUGGAUCAAUUAUUCACUGCAAAUUACACACUCGGCUACCAUGAUCAUUAUAACCCCUUCACAUCCUGUUACUCUACACUCUAUUAUUUCUGCUUACCCCUAUGGAGCCUGCCCUUUUACCUUCCUGACACUCCCCCCCUUUUCUAGCUGUCAAACAGUGUGUUUCAUUCUACGUUUAAAGGAUUUCUUAUUUCUCCUUUGUGUGCUGCCUGUUUCCUGCCAUCCUUAUCUCCCCUCCUUGUAGAUCCAUCAGAGUAGUGGCUUUCAUGACUAAAAUGGUGGGGGAAAUGCUGUUUAAAGACCAUCUGGAUUCUAUUCACAAGGACACUAUUGAAAACCAAACUGGUUUCUUAAAACUCCUACUGAAGUGUAGAAAAAUGUUCUUUUUUUCUCCUUCCUUUUAAACUAUGGGAUUUUUUAUAUUUUUUCCAAAGUCUUCAGACUGGUUCCUGAAACCUCUGCUGACAAGCAGGAGCACUGUAUGGCUUCCAUAAUGAAUAGUACUAAGUAAUUUUUAACGAAUUCUUCCUUUAUCAGCAGGGCUCAGCACAAGAAAGGAUUAUGCACGGUGAAUUUGAUAUAAAGGACACAACGAUACUAGCUUAUGGGCUACCUGUUAAUUUAUGUGGGCUUACUAAUGGUAUUACUCCAAUUUACCAUUUAGCUGUCUAGGGUGCCUUUGUUGUUCUUACACUAAAGAAACCAAAUAUCAUCUCUUCCAUCAUUGUGAGGUAGAGCAGGAUCACUCUUAUUUUAAAUUUAAGCUACUAAUUCAAGUAAGUUAGCCCAAGUCAGGCAGGAAGGAAAUCUUGUAGCAAAGAGAGGGGAGAAAAAGAAAAGUGUCUUGCAAUCUGUGCCAGCAUGUUCCCUGGUACAGCACAUCCCUGAUACUCAAAAACACAGAAGAGUUUACCUGACUGCAAUACUCUAGAUUUCAUGGUACCAUAAGCUACUUUAUGCUCUUAAAACAUAAAUUUACUUUUUAAGAAUUACUAUUACUGGGGACGAAGGUGUAGGCAAAGGCACAUAAAAGGUUUGUGUGGAACAGAAAUUAAAUGGUAACUUCCUGAUUCAUA
rnacentral:lncRNA from 1 species